AACGAACGCUGGCGGCAUGCCUAACACAUGCAAGUCGAACGAGACCUUCGGGUCUAGUGGCGCACGGGUGCGUAACGCGUGGGAACCUGCCCUUAGGUUCGGAAUAACUCCCCGAAAGGGGUGCUAAUACCGGAUAAUGUCUUCGGACCAAAGAUUUAUCGCCUUUGGAUGGGCCCGCGUUGGAUUAGCUAGUUGGUAGGGUAAAAGCCUACCAAGGCGACGAUCCAUAGCUGGUCUGAGAGGAUGAUCAGCCACACUGGGACUGAGACACGGCCCAGACUCCUACGGGAGGCAGCAGUGGGGAAUAUUGGACAAUGGGCGAAAGCCUGAGCCAGCAAUGCCGCGUGAGUGAUGAAGGCCUUAGGGUUGUAAAGCUCUUUUACCCGGGAUGAUAAUGACAGUACCGGAAGAAUAAGCUCCGGCUAACUCCGUG
rnacentral:rRNA from 1 species